AUCUCAGACCUUGGGAUGUAAAACCUUAUUCAAGGGGAAACCCUGGGAUACUGUCUUGGCAGCAGUGGACUCCAGGACUCUAAAUUCCACUGCUGACAUGGCCAUCCUUGGAGAAAGGCAACUGAGGAAGGCAUGCUUGGCAGAAGUUCAUCAUCUUAGGUCUCCUAAGGCCGCAGAUGCUCUCCACUCAGCUGGUAUCACUUGGUCCCUGUGGGCUCAGCAUCACAACAUGUCUUCUUUCUGUCCAGUUCUGUGGAUUCCCUGGACAUCCAUUGACCACAGGUUAUGAACCCCUGAGCCAAAGAGAGAGAAAUAAACCCUCCGUGGUCAAACUCCUAAGGUGCGACUAGAUCCAUAUGAGCCAAGCCCUUGAUUCCAAGCAGGCCAGAAUUCUUAGAACUGGAAGACCUUGGGGCUCAGCUAGUGCAAACUCCACUCUGCCAUAUUUUAAAAGAUUUUGGGCAUUUUGUACUCACUUUUCACCCCAACCUGGCCCCAUAACCUUCUCCAGAAAGAGAA